GCUACACAUGCAAGUCGAACGGUAGCACAGAGAGCUUGCUCUCGGGUGACGAGUGGCGGACGGGUGAGUAAUGUCUGGGAAACUGCCUGAUGGAGGGGGAUAACUACUGGAAACGGUAGCUAAUACCGCAUAACGUCGCAAGACCAAAGAGGGGGACCUUCGGGCCUCUUGCCAUCAGAUGUGCCCAGAUGGGAUUAGCUAGUAGGCGGGGUAACGGCCCACCUAGGCGACGAUCCCUAGCUGGUCUGAGAGGAUGACCAGCCACACUGGAACUGAGACACGGUCCAGACUCCUACGGGAGGCAGCAGUGGGGAAUAUUGCACAAUGGGCGCAAGCCUGAUGCAGCCAUGCCGCGUGUGUGAAGAAGGCCUUCGGGUUGUAAAGCACUUUCAGCGGGGAGGAAGGCGGUACGGUUAAUAACCGUGCCGAUUGACGUUACCCGCAGAAGAAGCACCGGCUAACUCCGUGCCAGCAGCCGCGGUAAUACGGAGGGUGCAAGCGUUAAUCGGAAUUACUGGGCGUAAAGCGCACGCAGGCGGUCUGUCAAGUCGGAUGUGAAAUCCCCGGGCUCAACCUGGGAACUGCAUUCGAAACUGGCAGGCUGGAGUCUCGUAGAGGGAGGUAGAAUUCCAGGUGUAGCGGUGAAAUGCGUAGAGAUCUGGAGGAAUACCGGUGGCGAAGGCGGCCUCCUGGACGAAGACUGACGCUCAGGUGCGAAAGCGUGGGGAGCAAACAGGAUUAGAUACC
rnacentral:rRNA from 1 species